AACGAACGCUGGCGGCAUGCCUAACACAUGCAAGUCGAACGAGACCUUCGGGUCUAGUGGCGCACGGGUGCGUAACGCGUGGGAACCUGCCCUUAGGUUCGGAAUAACUCCCCGAAAGGGGUGCUAAUACCGGAUAAUGUCUUCGGACCAAAGAUUUAUCGCCUUUGGAUGGGCCCGCGUUGGAUUAGCUAGUUGGUAGGGUAAAAGCCUACCAAGGCGACGAUCCAUAGCUGGUCUGAGAGGAUGAUCAGCCACACUGGGACUGAGACACGGCCCAGACUCCUACGGGAGGCAGCAGUGGGGAAUAUUGGACAAUGGGCGAAAGCCUGAUCCAGCAAUGCCGCGUGAAUGAUGAAGGCCUUAGGGUUGUAAAGCUCUUUUACCCGGGAUGAUAAUGACGGUACCGGGAGAAUAAGCUCCGGCUAACUCCGUG
rnacentral:rRNA from 1 species